rnacentral:misc_RNA from 1 species
AACGCACAUUGCGCCCGCCAGUAUUCUGGCGGGCAUGCCUGUUCGAGCGUCAUUUCAACCCUCAAGCCCCCGGGCUUGGUGUUGGGGAUCGGCGAUAGUCGCCGUCCCCCAAAUCUAGUGGCGGUCUCGCUGUAGCCUCCAUUGCGUAGUAGCUAACACCUCGCAACUGGAACGCGGCGCGGCCAAGCCGUUAAACCCCCAACUUCUGAAUGUUGACCUCGGAUCAGGUAGGAAUACCCGCUGAACUUAA